rnacentral:rRNA from 1 species
GCCAAAACGUAAAAUUAACCCACACCCCCAAACGCCAGGGUAUUACGAGCUUCAGCUUAAAACCCAAAGGACUUGACGGUACCCCACCCAACUAGAGGAGCCUGUUCUAUAACCGAUAACCCACGAUAUACCCGACCAUUUCUUGCCUUCAGCCUGUAUACCUCCGUCGCAAGCCUACCAUAUGAACGCAUAGCAGUAAGCCCAAAGAUUAACCGUCAUAACGUCAGGUCAAGGUGCAGCCUAUGAAAUGGAAGCAAUGGGCUACAAUUUCUAACCUAGAACAAACAAAACACUAUAUGAAAUAUAGCUACAAGAAGGAUUUAGUAGUAAAUAAGGAAUAGAGAGCCUUAUUAAAUCUAGCCCUGGGGUG